rnacentral:rRNA from 1 species
GCUGGCGGCGUGCCUAAUACAUGCAAGUCGAUCGCUGGAAACCUAGCUUGCUAGGUGGAAGGAGAGGCGAACGGGUGAGUAAUACAUAAGCAACCUGCCCACGAAGACUGGGAUAAUCCUUGGAAACGAGGACUAAUACCGGAUAGGUUACGAAUUCGCAUGAAUUUGUAAUUAAAGGUUAGAAACACUGGUGGAUGGGCUUAUGGUGCAUUAGCUAGUUGGUGAGGUAACGGCCCACCAAGGCGAUGAUGCAUAGCCGGGCUGAGAGGCUGAACGGCCACAUUGGGACUGAGACACGGCCCAGACUCCUACGGGAGGCAGCAGUAGGGAAUUUUCGGCAAUGGGGGAAACCCUGACCGAGCAACGCCGCGUGAGUGAUGAAGGUCUUCGGAUUGUAAAGCUCUGUUGUAAGGGAAGAAUGAAUUGGAUAGAAUCCGAUUGUGACGGUACCUUACCAGAAAGCUACGGCUAACUACGUGCCAGCAGCCGCGGUAAUACGUAGGUAGCGAGCGUUAUCCGGAAUUAUUGGGCGUAAAGGGUGCGUAGGCGGCUUGUUAAGUUUAAGGUGAAAGAAUGGGGCUCAACCCCAUAAAGCCUUAGAUACUGGCAAGCUAGAGUACUGGAGAGGGUAGUGGAAUUCCAUGUGUAGCGGUAAAAUGCGUAGAUAUAUGGAGGAACACCGGUGGCGAAGGCGGCUACCUAGACAGAGACUGACGCUGAGGCACGAAAGCGUGGGGAGCAAAUAGGAUUAGAUACCCUAGUAGUCCACGCCGUAAACGAUGAAUGCUAGAUAUCGGGGCAA